rnacentral:lncRNA from 1 species
CUCUGCUGGAUCCAUCAUCAGACCCGAGCCCCUCCGCCACUUCUCCAUAUAUAAAAAUAAUUUUUUUCACAUACCGUCAAAGGUAAAGAUGUUGCUCCUUUUAAAAUUUUCUCUAAAUACAUCAGGAAGCAUUUACCAAGACCAAAGAUGUUACCUUAGGUCACCGCAGCACAAUGGCCCGAAUCAGAACAUCCGCUGUGGACGCAGCUCACAGUCCAUGGCCAUCCACUGCCCAGCCGGGGGCUCGCUGGCCUCCGCCGCCUCCACCCCACCAUCCAGAAUCACGCGCUGUGCUGAGUUGACAUGUUCUUCUCCUCUAAUCUGGAAGCCCUUCUUUUCUGUUUCUGGACCUUGAUAUUUUUUUGAAGAGUCCAGACCAGUUGUUUUGGAAAAUGUUCCCUUAUUAGAGUCCGUGUGAUGUUUCCACGUGCAUUUUUGUGGAGGAAAUAUAGAAUCCUUAAAGGUGACAGCUUUGUCACCAGACACGUGAGAUGGGACGGCUUGCAGCCCCAGGUCUCCAUGCGUCCCGUGGGUCCUUGGAGGAGGCUCCUCCAGUUUCCAGGGCUCUCAGGCUCAUGGUUUCUGGGCUUUGCUGGCCGAGUCUUGAUGAUUGCUGGGUUUUCAAGGUCAUGUCACUUUUGGAGCGACCUCAAGACCGUGGUCCAUUCCGGGUCAUCUUUAGCAAGAUGUGAUUCCAUAGAUCUGCUUAAGGAUUUCUGUUGCCCAGCCUCCCUGCAGUAACACCAGCUGUCCAUCACCUGACUGUUUACACUGUAACCAUUCCUAGCCCUCCCCAUACCAGCU